UGGCUGUAGCUCUGCUGUCGGAGAAGCCAGGAAUUCAAUUUAGCAUGUUGUCUUCAUUUCUGAUGACAAACAAUAUUAGUACAGAAAAUGUAUUACCUAAAAUUCUUCAGUCUUUAAAGUCUUUAUACACUCAUGAAACCAAUUUGAUUCAAAACUAGUUACUAUUCCUUCCUAAAUUCCUGCUUCUAAAUUCUUUACACCUUUCCAGAGUCUUACACUGGCCUAAAGGUAAGAUUUAGUGUUUCAGUCAAACCUCAGCUUAUAAGCUCUCUUUACAAUCACUGAACAAAUCCUUUCUAAAAUCAUUGUGAGGUCUUCUGCAUAACCACCAGGGGGCGAUUUCAUAACGUUCCGUGGAUAAAUGGCCUUUAUUUGAUGAAUUUGGCACUUUUCUAUACUCUGUCUAUCAUUGUGAAGGGAAGCGACAACAAUGAGCACAGCGAGGCUGUACUGUGGGAACAGUGUGGAGUUUUAGAGCAGGAGGUUUUUGUACAGCCGCUGAAUGAGUUUGUAUCACUGUGGUGGACUUUCGGUGGAGGAACCAAACUGUCAGUUGGACGUGACACGGCACCCACCCUCACGGUGCUGCCCCCGUCCACCAUGGAGCAGGACAAGGAGAAGGCCUCUCUGGUCUGUGUGGGCAGUGGGGGCUUCCCCUCAGACUGGAAGCUGAGCUGGAAGAUGGGCGGUUGCUCGUUGGAGUCGGGGGUCAGUCACAGCCCUGCGCUUCUGCAGAAGAACGACGGCCUCUACAGCUGGAGCAGCACCCUGACCGUCAGCCGGCAGCAGUGGCUGAAGAACACAGUGACCUGCGAGGCCACCAAGGACUCCCAGCCUACCGUCCGCAAGACAGUGACCGCAGACCAAUGCCCUGACCUGUGACCUCACAAAUGCAUCUCCGCUUCACCGAGAUCGGGUCAUUUAGCGUAGCCGUCACUUAGAUGUGUUAAGUAUGUUUCAGUGCAGAAAUGUGUGAAAUUUGCCUUAUAAAUAAAAGCUUUCCUUCAAAAACUGAAA